rnacentral:rRNA from 1 species
AUUGAACGCUGGCGGCAGGCCUAACACAUGCAAGUCGAGCGGUAACAGGAAUUAGCUUGCUAAUUUGCUGACGAGCGGCGGACGGGUGAGUAAUGCCUGGGAAUAUGCCUUGAUGUGGGGGAUAACUAUUGGAAACGAUAGCUAAUACCGCAUAAUGCCUACGGGCCAAAGAGGGGGAUCUUCGGACCUCUCGCGUCAAGAUUAGCCCAGGUGGGAUUAGCUAGUUGGUGGGGUAAUGGCUCACCAAGGCGACGAUCUAUGGCUGGUCUGAGAGGAUGAUCAGCCACAUCGGGACUGAUACACGGCCCGG